rnacentral:lncRNA from 1 species
UCCAAAUUUGUGCCUUGUUUACUCUUUGAGAUCAUAGAGAAUUUUGGUGAGGAGGUGACCAGGUCAGAAACAGGUUUCCAUGACCACACAACUGAGGUACUUCUCCCACUCAGGCAUUAUAUGAUGCUGAGGUCAUAGAAAAUAAAACUGGAAGGGUCAUCCAAUAGCUGGCAGCAUUCCCCAGCUUUUUGACUACUCUGUCAUAGAAAUACUCCAGUGAUAGGUACUUCAUCAUCACUCUAGUCAAUUAUCCCAACACAUAACUCUCCUUUCCUAAGUGACAAAUACAGUCUAGCUGUGGGAGAGACCGCUUGCUUUUUUGGGCAUUAUAUGUUUUGCUCAAAUUCAACUUAGAUGUAUUUAUGACUUUCACCUUGUUUGUUUAUUUAUUUCUGUCUCUGUUACCAGUCCUUCACCAUUUUUUACUUUAUAUUUUUCCUUUACAUUUUUUACUUUACAAGGUGGGCUUCUCCAUACUACUUUACCAUUUCUACAUUAAGUCACUCCCUUUCUUUUUUGUCUUCUGAACUACAUGCUCAUUACCCUUGCAUUUCUUUUCUUCUUUGUGUCUUUCCAAACCCAUGAAAAACAAAUUCUCACAUGCCAGCAGCCUCACUACAGAGACCUGUCCCUUGACAUCUCCCAGAAGGCAGCUAAAAUGCCACACUUUUAUUCAUUGCAUCAGAACCACUUUCCUUAAACAAUGAGGAAUUAACCAGAUGUAGUCAAAUCUUGAGAUAUGGCUGACAAAAGCUUUGGGAAGCACACAAUGUACUCUGAACACACAUAUGAAGGAGCAGGAAUUACACAGCCUCCAAAGAGGGAAAUCAGAACUCAUGGCAGACAGGGGAAACAGAUGCUUGCUUCCUGCUGGCUGGAUCUGUGCCUGAGAGGGCUGAAUGCAGUGGUCUAAAGCAAGACUAUUGAGGUCACCUGACAGAGCAGCAGUUUGCAUUAGCACUCAAGAUGCACAGGCUGUGCCUCUCCGUGAAAGGUCCACACAUAAAACAGGGAAACUAAACUUGGACUUGGGAGGUAGAGGUUCUUUGU